rnacentral:lncRNA from 1 species
GUACGUUGAUGGAGACGAUCUUGGGAGGCUGGACUGCGGGCACGACUUCCACGCUUGCUGCAUCAAGCAAUGGCUGGUGGUGAAGAACGUGUGCCCCAUCUGCAAAAACACCGCAUUGAAGACCUGAAACUGAAAAGGCUCGUCAGAGACACCCAUGUUCCAUGUUCAUUCCAUCGAUCGCAAGAUCAUUUACCGAUUCAUAUUACUAUGCUUUUUUGGUUGGGAAAAUUUUGCCAUUCACCUGCAAUUGGGAAAGGAAAAAAAAAAAGAGGAUGUGCGGACCCUGUAAACUGCUGCAGCAGUAAAUAAUCCCUGGAAUAUGUCUCCCUGCAUUUAACCA